rnacentral:rRNA from 1 species
AGCAGCCGCGGUAAUUCCAGCUCCAAUAGCGUAUAUUAAAGUUGUUGCAGUUAAAAAGCUCGUAGUUGAAUUUCGGGAUCAGUUCGCUGGUCGUGCCUCUGGUAUGUACUGGUGUUACUGGUUCCUCCCUUCUGACGAACUGUCAUGUCAUUUAUUUGGUGUGGCAGGGAAUCAGGACUGUUACUUUGAAAAAAUUAGAGUGUUUAAAGCAGGCUCGCGCUUGAAUACAUUAGCAUGGAAUAAUGAAAUAGGACGUUCGAUCCUAUUUUGUUGGUUUCUAGGAUUGACGUAAUGAUUAAUAGGGAUAGUUGGGGGCAUUAGUAUUCAAUUGUCAGAGGUGAAAUUCUUGGAUUUAUUGAAGACUAACUACUGCGAAAGCAUUUGCCAAGGAUGUUUUCAUUAAUCAAGAACGAAAGUUAGGGGAUCGAAGACGAUCAGAUACCGUCGUAGUCUUAACCAUAAACUAUGCCGACUAGGGAUCGGAUGAUGUUAUUUUUAAUGUACUCAUUC